ensembl:lncRNA
CUUGGUAGCUGGACUGAAACCGUUGUGUGGGUUAAAGGGGCAAUCUACAGUUCAAACUAUAACACAGUGACACCCUGCCACUGUUUCGGUAAAAAGCUGAGGGAAAGGGGAAACUCAUACAAAGCUAUGGAUGUAAGGAAUGACCAUGCAUGAUAUCAAUAUAAUAUAAAUAUAUAUUUUUUUAAAUAUACAGUUUGUGUUUACAAUGACAUUGUUCACAAACAAUGGAGUAAAACAAGCAUUAUGUUGGGUUCUGAUGGGGUACAACAGUUGAAGUAAGAUCAUGAGUAAGGUAGUGGUUAGGUCUACUAGUUACUGGCAGUGGUUAGGUCUACUAGUUACCGGCAGUGGUUAGGUCUACUAGUUACCGGCAGUGGUUAGGUCUACUAGUUACUGGCAGUGGUUAGGUCUACUAGUUACCGGCAGUGGUUAGGUCUACUAGUUACCGGCAGUGGUUAGGUCUACUAGUUACCGGCAGUGGUUAGGUCUACUAGUUACCGGCAGUGGUUAGGUCUACUAGUUACCGGCAGUGGUUAG